rnacentral:rRNA from 1 species
AGUGAACGCUGGCGGCAGGCCUAACACAUGCAAGUCGAACGGCAGCACAGUAAGAGCUUGCUCUUAUGGGUGGCGAGUGGCGGACGGGUGAGGAAUACAUCGGAAUCUACUCUUUCGUGGGGGAUAACGUAGGGAAACUUACGCUAAUACCGCAUACGACCUACGGGUGAAAGCGGAGGACCUUCGGGCUUCGCGCGAUUGAAUGAGCCGAUGUCGGAUUAGCUAGUUGGCGGGGUAAAGGCCCACCAAGGCGACGAUCCGUAGCUGGUCUGAGAGGAUGAUCAGCCACACUGGAACUGAGACACGGUCCAGACUCCUACGGGAGGCAGCAGUGGGGAAUAUUGGACAAUGGGCGCAAGCCUGAUCCAGCCAUGCCGCGUGGGUGAAGAAGGCCUUCGGGUUGUAAAGCCCUUUUGUUGGGAAAGAAAAGCAGUCGGUUAAUACCCGAUUGUUCUGACGGUACCCAAAGAAUAAGCACCGGCUAACUUCGUGCCAGCCGCCGCGGUAA